rnacentral:lncRNA from 1 species
UUGCAUGGCCUUCAAAAAAUCUUCAGAAAAAUUUUGACUUCCACCACCACUUGUUUCUCCAAAUCUAGAAUCUCCCAUCUUGACUUAUAGAGAAUUCAAUGCCUCAAGGCACUCUCAGUGGAAGCACCAAUAAUGUCGGGAGAAAGAAAGCUUGCCUUGAGAAAGUGCUAGGCUUUUGUCUGAUACUAAAUUCUUAAUUAAU